rnacentral:rRNA from 1 species
UGANGCCGCGANUAGCUCAUUACANUAGCCGUUGUUUCUUGGAUCCUCAAUUUACUUGGAUACCUGUGGUAAUUCUAGAGCUAAUACAUGCGACUAAGGGCCGAACUCACGUGACGCUUGCAUUUAUUAGAUCAAGACUAACCGGCUUCGGCCGUUAACUUGGUGACUCUGAAUAACUCAGCUGAUCGCACGGUCUAGUGCCGGCGACAUAUCUUUCAAGUGUCUACCUUAUCAACUGUCGAUGGUAGUUUAUGUGACUACCAUGGUUGUAACGGGUAACGGAGAAUCAGGGUUUGACUCCGGAGAGGGAGCCUGAGAAACGGCUACCACUUCUAAGGAAGGCAGCAGGCGCGCAAAUUACACAAUCUCAGCACGAGGAUGUAGUGACGAAACAUACCGAGGCGAUGCCCUUUCGGGUGUCGUCAUUGGAAUGAGUCGAAUCUAAAAAAUUCGGCAAGGAUCUAGUGGAGGGCAAGUCUGGUGCCAGCAGCCGCGGUAAUUCCAGCUCCGCAAGUGUAUAUCUAUGCUGUUGCGGUUAAAAAGCUCGUAGUUUGAUUCGCGUACUUAGCACGCAGUGUGGCCUUUCGGCUACUACUGUGAUGCGGUACAUUAUCGUCAGUUUGUCGUUGAUGCUCUUCAUUGGGUGUCAGCGGCGGCUGUCAAGUUUACUUUGAACAAAUUAAAGUGCUCAAUACAGGCGUUUCGCUUGUAUAGUUCUGCAUGGAAUAAUAGAAUAGGACUUACGUUCUAUUGUGUUGGUUUUCAGAACGAAAGUAAUGAUUAAGAGGGACAGACGGGGUCAUUCGUACUGCCACGUUAGAGGUGAAAUUCUUGGAUCGUGGCAAGACGAACUACUGCGAAAGCAUUUGACAAGAAUGUUUUCAUUAAUCAAGAACGAAAGUUAUGGGUUCG